rnacentral:rRNA from 1 species
GAUGAACGCUGGCGGCGUGCUUAACACAUGCAAGUCGAACGGAAAGGCUCCUGCUUGCAGGGGUACUCGAGUGGCGAACGGGUGAGUAACACGUGGGUGAUCUGCCCUGCACUUCGGGAUAAGCCUGGGAAACUGGGUCUAAUACCGGAUAGGACGAUGGUUUGGAUGCCAUUGUGGAAAGUUUUUCGGUGUGGGAUGAGCUCGCGGCCUAUCAGCUUGUUGGUGGGGUAAUGGCCUACCAAGGCGUCGACGGGUAGCCGGCCUGAGAGGGUGUACGGCCACAUUGGGACUGAGAUACGGCCCAGACUCCUACGGGAGGCAGCAGUGGGGAAUAUUGCACAAUGGGCGCAAGCCUGAUGCAGCGACGCCGCGUGGGGGAUGACGGCCUUCGGGUUGUAAACUACUUUCGCUAGGGACGAAGCGCAAGUGGCGGUACCUGGAGAAGAAGCACCGGCUAACUACGUG